GUGAGAUGAUGAAUAAGUUUAUCCAUUCGCCGAGUGAUGCUAACCAUUUGCUCCACAGCACCCUAAGUCUUGUUUAAGGCUCUGGGUGAAAUAUAUUCAUCUUGUACCAUGUGACUUUUUUGCGUUCUGCUGAGAAGCUACUGGUGCCUGAUUGGGUGUAUGUGGAUGUGAGAUGGUUUGGCAGAAUUUGAAUCCUUCUAGGAUCUAAUUCUACUAAGAUGAAUGAUGCAGUCUGAUCAC